UGAGUUUACAUGGAGAUUACCCUUGUGGCUGUCACCGAACCAAGUUAGUCUCUACCUUAUAAGUGCACUUAAUCUUCCUCUCUCUCCGAUACUUAUCUUCCGGUCAAUCUUUCAUACCCGGCAACUUCUUCCGACUCCAAAUUUGAUGCCCUGCUCUGUUCCCAACGUUUUCUCUAGCAAAGAUUGCGCCUUUCACCUUCCCCUAAAAAUCCAAUCUUAGGGUUAAGAUUUCCAUUCCCAAUUUCUCCCAAACCAAAAUCCAACCACAAUCUCCGUGAACCAUCACCAAGGGGAAGAACGAUUUCCUCACGCCCAAAGCCAUGGGACUUCAGAAGCUCCAGUGGGACUACCAUACGUGCAAGAAGCAAUGCCGCGAUGAGAACAGCUUCAAAUGUCACUGCUUGAGCGAGAGCCACCAGCGCCAUCGAGGAGUGUACAGUAGAGAGUUGGAGCUGUUUCCAGCGACUUCGAUUAGCCCUCGGUUCGCUUCACCGACUCUGCCUUCAACUGUUCUGUGCCGCCGAGAGCCAUCAUUAAGAAAACUUUGGUGCCGGAAAGCUCACCGCGGUUAGUUCAUUUUUCCGUUUAUGGCUUUGGUGCCGGAAAGCUCACCGCGGCCAAGGAAGAUCCCUGCUGUUACAAAGAGCAAAAACUGCAGCUUGAAUCUGGAGAACAAUAGACAGUUUGAGUAACAUUAAAGCAUAGAUAACCUUCUGUCAUAACUGAACCUGGAGACUUGAUUAGAUAUUAUUUCCCUUCUUCUUUGCGUGUUUCGCUCAAGAAGCAUGGUCAUGAGCCCGAUCCUAUUCAGUUUUUUUAUGAUAAGCAUACACGGAAUGACAAAGAAAAAAACUGGAUUUAUGAAGUUGCUGAGCGGACACAUGCUGGUAUGCAAGAGAAGUUGGCAGAAAUUGUAGCAGUUGAAGGUAAUGAGACUACAGAGAUGCGAGAAAGAGCAUAUGUUGCAGUGAUGGGACGUGAGAAACGUCACAGAGUUUGCGGUUAUGGACUAGGUGUAAUACCUGAUAUGGUGCCUUAUCUUCAAAUUGAUGGUAGCUCAUCAUCACACAGAUCAUAUGGAAGACAUUAUGCUCACUUGCAGUCACAAUUAAUUUAUGGAGUUAGAGUCCAAGUACCAACAACAACAAGAGCAAGCACAGGUGCAGCAAGUUCAAACUCAGGAACGACUCUUGCAAACCCAACAAGAAUUGGCAAUGUUAAAGCAAAUGAUGCAAUCCCAGCAAUCUACUCCACCUUCACAACAAUCUUCUCAGCCUUUGCAGCAACCAUCCUUCCAGAUGCCUUCUUAUCCUCGUCAAAUGUACUGGCCUCAACCGCAGAUCUAUCCUCAAAUGCCUUAUCAGCCUCAACAUGCUUAUCCUACCACUGGACUAACUGGAUUGCUUAUGGGAGAUACAAGUGUCCAAGAAACUGAUUUGUUGAACCAACUUAGAGCUUCAUCAAAUCAAAGCUCUCGUGGAUCUGAGCAAUAGACUUUUAUUAUUUCCCUUAUUGAUCAUUAGAUGCUAAUUGAUAGGCAUUUGACUAGAUGAAUUUGUGACUUUUUUAGUAACAAGUAUUUUGUAGACUUGAUUUUAAGUUGCAUCAGUAAAGAUUUGUUGAACAGGAAAUAAAUUUAUAUUAUAUUUUGUUGUCCAGAAAAAAUUUAUAUAUAUAAUUUAUA